UCUGAGUAAUUAUAUUUAAUAAGUCAAAACUUUCAACAACGGAUCUCUUGGUUCUGGCAUCGAUGAAGAACGCAGCGAAAUGCGAUAAGUAAUGUGAAUUGCAGAAUUCAGUGAAUCAUCGAAUCUUUGAACGCACAUUGCGCCCAUUAGUAUUCUAGU
rnacentral:rRNA from 1 species